UACGGAGGGGGCUAGCGUUGUUCGGAAUUACUGGGCGUAAAGCGCACGUAGGCGGAUAGUUAAGUCAGGGGUGAAAUCCUGGAGCUCAACUCCAGAACUGCCUUUGAUACUGAAGAUCUUGAGUUCGGGAGAGGUGAGUGGAACUGCGAGUGUAGAGGUGAAAUUCGUAGAUAUCAGGAGGAACACCAAUUGCGAAGGCAGCUCGCUGGGACGUUACUGACGCUGAGACGGCGAAAAGCGUGGGGAGCAAACAGGG
rnacentral:rRNA from 1 species